ACUCCUACGGGAGGCAGCAGUGGGGAAUAUUGCACAAUGGGCGCAAGCCUGAUGCAGCCAUGCCGCGUGUAUGAAGAAGGCCUUCGGGUUGUAAAGUACUUUCAGCAGUGAGGAAGGUGGGUAUGUUAAUAGCAUACUCAUUUGACGUUAGCUGCAGAAGAAGCACCGGCUAACUCCGUGCCAGCAGCCGCGGUAAUACGGAGGGUGCGAGCGUUAAUCGGAAUUACUGGGCGUAAAGCGCAUGCAGGUGGUUUGUUAAGUCAGAUGUGAAAGCCCGGGGCUCAACCUCGGAAUUGCAUUUGAAACUGGCAAACUAGAGUACUGUAGAGGGGGGUAGAAUUUCAGGUGUAGCGGUGAAAUGCGUAGAGAUCUGAAGGAAUACCGGUGGCGAAGGCGGCCCCCUGGACAGAUACUGACACUCAGAUGCGAAAGCGUGGGGAGCAAACAGGAUUAGAUACCCUGGUAGCGUCGUC
rnacentral:rRNA from 1 species